rnacentral:rRNA from 1 species
UACGGAGGGUGCAAGCGUUGUCCGGAUUUAUUGGGCGUAAAGGGCGCGUAGGCGGCCAUGUAAGUCGGAUGUGAAAUCCCACGGCUCAACCGUGGAAUUGCGUUCGAAACUGUGUGGCUUGAGUUCGGGAGAGGGAAGUGGAAUUCCCAGUGUAGAGGUGAAAUUCGUAGAUAUUGGGAGGAACACCAGUGGCGAAGGCGGCUUCCUGGACCGAAACUGACGCUGAGGCGCGAAAGCGUGGGUAGCAAAC